rnacentral:rRNA from 1 species
AUUGAACGCUGGCGGCAGGCCUAACACAUGCAAGUCGAACGAGUGGCGGACGGGUGAGUAAUGUCUGGGAAACUGCCUGAUGGAGGGGGAUAACUACUGGAAAAGGUAGCUAAUACCGCAUACCAUCGGAUGAGCCCCGAUGGGAGUAGCUAGUAGGUGGGGUAACGGCGCACCUAGGAGACGAUCCCUAGCUGGUCUGAGAGGAUGGCCAGCCACACUGUAACUGAGACACGUGCCAGACUCCUACGGGAGGAAGCAGUGGGGAAUAUUGCACAAUGGGCGCAAGCCUGAUGCAGCCAUGCCGCGUGUAUGAAGAAGGCCGUCGGGUUGUAAAGUACUUUCAGCGGGGAGGCGUUACCCGCAGAAGAAGCACCGGAUAACUCCGUGCCAGCCGCCGCGGUAAUUC